ACUCAAAUGAAUUGACGGGGGCUCGCACAAGCGGUGGAGCAUGUGGUUUAAUUCGAUGAUAACCGACGAACCUUACCAGUCCUUGAAUGGCAACAUAAGUCGUAACAGAGAUGUGCGAUGUUGAGCAAUCAAGGUUGUCACAGGUGAUGCAUGGCUGUCGUCAGCUCGUGUCGUGAGAUGUUGGGUUAAGUCCCGCAACGAGCGCAACCCCCUUCCAUAUUUGCCAGCGGGUAAUGCCGGGAACUAUAUGGAUACUGCCAGCGAUGAGUUGGAGGAAGGAGGGGACGACGUCAAGUCAUCAUGUCCUUUAUGGACUGGGCUACACACGUGCUACAAUGGCGUUUACAACGAGAGGCAACACGGCGACGUGAAGCAAAUCUUUAAAGAACGCCUCAGUUCAGAUUGCAGUCUGCAACUCGACUGCAUGAAGUAGGAAUCGCUAGUAAUCGCGGAUCAGAAUGUCGCGGUGAAUACGUUCUCGGGCCUUGUACACACCGCCCGU
rnacentral:rRNA from 1 species